UACGGGGGGAGCAAGCGUUGUUCGGAUUUACUGGGCGUAAAGGGCGCGUAGGCGGUCAGCACAAGUCAGUUGUGAAAUCUCCGGGCUUAACUCGGAAAGGUCAACUGAUACUGUGCGACUAGAGUGCAGAAGGGGCAACUGGAAUUCUCGGUGUAGCGGUGAAAUGCGUAGAUAUCGGAAGGAACAUCAGUGGCGAAAGCGACUUCCUGGACCAAUACUGACGCUCAUGUGCGAAAGCGUGGGGAGCAAACAGG
rnacentral:rRNA from 1 species